GUUGUAUGGUUAAGUGACUAAGCGUACACGGUGGAUGCCUUGGCAGUCAGAGGCGAUGAAAGACGUAGUAACUUGCGAUAAGCCCAGAUUAGGUAGUAACAACCAUUUGAGUCUGGGAUUUCUGAAUGGGGAAACCCACGUGCAUAAGCACGUAUCCUUACCUGAAUACAUAGGGUAAGGAGGCGAACCGGGGGAACUGAAACAUCUAAGUACCCCGAGGAAAAGAAAUCAACCGAGAUUCCGAAAGUAGCGGCGAGCGAAAUUGGACUAGCCCUUAAGCUUUACACGCGUUAGACGAACGGUCUGGAAAGUCCGACGAUACAGGGUGAUAGUCCCGUAGUUGACGACGUGUGUUCAGUGAAAUCGAGUAGGGCGGGACACGUGAUAUCCUGUCUGAAUAUGGGGGGACCAUCCUCCAAGGCUAAAUACUACUGACUGACCGAUAGUGAACCAGUACCGUGAGGGAAAGGCGAAAAGAACCCCUGUGAGGGGAGUGAAAUAGAACCUGAAACCGUGUACGUACAAGCAGUAGGAGCACCUUCGUGGUGUGACUGCGUACCUUUUGUAUAAUGGGUCAGCGACUUAUAUUCAGUGGCAAGGUUAACCAUCUAGGGGAGCCGUAGGGAAACCGAGUCUUAACUGGGCGUUCAGUCUCUGGAUAUAGACCCGAAACCAGGUGAUCUAGCCAUGGGCAGGUUGAAGGUUGAGUAACAUCAACUGGAGGACCGAACCGACUAAUGUUGAAAAAUUAGCGGAUGACUUGUGGCUAGGGGUGAAAGGCCAAUCAAACCUGGAGAUAGCUGGUUCUCCCCGAAAGCUAUUUAGGUAGCGCCUCGGACGAAUACUACUGGGGGUAGAGCACUGUUAAGGCUAGGGGGUCAUCCCGACUUACCAACCCUUUGCAAACUCCGAAUACCAGUAAGUACUAUCCGGGAGACACACGGCGGGUGCUAACGUCCGUCGUGGAGAGGGAAACAACCCAGACCGCCAGCUAAGGUCCCAAAUUACUACUAAGUGGGAAACGAUGUGGGAAGGCUCAGACAGCCAGGAUGUUGGCUUAGAAGCAGCCAUCAUU
rnacentral:rRNA from 1 species